rnacentral:lncRNA from 13 species
UGCUUAGUUGGUUGGAACAGUGAGUAAAGCGCAGGAAGAGAGGGGAAUGGAAACUACUUUUGAUAUGGCGGCCAUUUUGGGGAUCUCCUUCGCCCAGUUUCACACAGUGUAGUGAGAUACUGUAAUUGCAGGGGCGAAAAGGCAAUGAUUUGUUUACUUCUCAGGUGUCUCUAGAGAUAGAUAGCUAGAUAGAUAGAAUCUACACUAUAUAAUAGGCACGCUAAGGCAGUUAGUCAGUUAUAUCAUAUAAUAUGAUAUCAAUUUAUAAAAUCAUAUGAAAAAAAUAUAGGCCUAGGGUUUGAGUUACUGUAUGGUUUGUUAUCUGGCAUGGGCAUUUGUAAUGUCUUCCCUUCUCCCCUUAACCUCCAUUACAGACCGCCUACCAUUCAUCAUGAAUCUGCCGCUGAAAACUACUUGCACUUGACACUGUGGGUGUCCACUGAUCAGGCAGGAAACUGACUACUCCAUUUCGGCUCAGCAACACCAACAUGCUUGUCCAGAAUUGUAACUGCGGAUCCAAAAUGGCUGACAUCGACACACAACACUGCCGUUGUUGCAUGUUGUGUGGAUUGUGUGCUCCAACCAUUAUAAAAUGAAUGACCAUUUUAAGGGGUUUAUUUUGUUUAUUAAAAAAAAAAAUCCAGAAGAUUUGUGAAAAGGAGGAUUUACGAAGUUUCUAGUUUACUCUCAAUCGUUCAUCCAUCCCUCCUACGUUCCUAUCCAUUUAUUUUUUGUCUUUCCUUUCUAUUUCUGAUGUGACUUCUUGAUCAACUCUCUCUAUCAUUUUUUCCUCCUCCUUGAGAAAGCAGACGAUCUCCGAAAGCCAAUCCAACCCCAUUCACUCAGUCAAUCAACUGUUGUGCGUUUGUGAAAUGAUGUAAAUGAUUGGUGUGUGAGGCUAGUGUGUGUUGAUCCAGAAAUAAGGGCUCUCCUAACAAACUAAAGGGGUUUCAUGUGCAGGUACAGUAGUGCUGCCAAAAGUCAUCUGUAUGUAUCUCAAACCCAUACAGUGGUGUGGUCUCCCCUUGUACAGCACUAGGUGUGUGCAUGCGUGUGUGUUGGGGUCACGGGUCAGGGUGAGAGAGUCUAUGGGGGGGGGGGGGGCACAGCUGGGUGUACGUUCCGCUGAGGUGAAACGUUCUGCUGAGGUGAAUCGUUCUGCUGAGGUGAAACGUUCUGGAAAAGAACAGAUAGAAAUGUAAUGAAUAGAGCUGACACGACACCCUUUUCUGUCAGACUGACAAGCAUAUCCGUUCUACUUGAUGCAUUUCUAUCUGAUUGUUUUCUGUAACAUUUGCACCCUCCUGAACAGACCCCGGUUAGAAGUAGUGUCACAAGUCACAUUAUUUCACAAAUGGCACUGGAACGUUCUUGGUUCAUUUUCUAGCUCCGCCUUCUUCCGCUUGCCAAUACAGCCUUCAUUAUGAUGUCAGCUGCCAUUUUCUCAUUGACCUCCACCUGCAUCCCCCAGCUCAUUUUGGAGUGGAGGGUCACCAACCUCAUCAGGGCUGGGUUUACUGGUAUGACAGUGAGACAUUCUUCUGUGUCUGUGUGUUGUGUUCGUGUGUGUUUGCUACGUGUGUGCUUAUGCGUGUGUGAGUGAGAGAGUGUGUGCGUGCGUGAGUGCGUGCGUGUGUGAGUGCGUGUGUUCACACCUCAUCUACAGUAAGUUAUCUUCAGUGCCUUACACUGUACAGUAGGAACCAAAUCUUCUUUAUAGAUAGACAACACACACUGCACUGAUUAACGCUUUCAUAAUGUUUUCAUAAUGUUUUCUCUCCAACUGUUCUCUUCUCUCCAUCCAGUAUUGCCUCACUUACCAUCCUAUUCCUUCUCUCUCUGUGAUCGACGAGUAAGGUCUGGAGGGAGGGCAUGGGUGAAUGAAUAGGUGAUCGUUGUGUUGGGUCUGUCAUCAUUCUCUUUCUCUCUCUCUGUACAUUUGCUCUGUAAACUCUUCCUGUGUACAUCUUCCAUAAACUUUCUGAAACAAUCCGACCAUGUCCAUCUAUNNNNNNNNNNAGUGUAGUGAGAUACUGUAAUUGCAGGGGCGAAAAGGCAAUGAUUUGUUUACUUCUCAGGUGUCUCUAGAGAUAGAUAGCUAGAUAGAUAGAAUCUACACUAUAUAAUAGGCACGCUAAGGCAGUUAGUCAGUUAUAUCAUAUAAUAUGAUAUCAAUUUAUAAAAUCAUAUGAAAAAAAUAUAGGCCUAGGGUUUGAGUUACUGUAUGGUUUGUUAUCUGGCAUGGGCAUUUGUAAUGUCUUCCCUUCUCCCCUUAACCUCCAUUACAGACCGCCUACCAUUCAUCAUGAAUCUGCCGCUGAAA